rnacentral:rRNA from 1 species
GACGAACGCUGGCGGCGUGCCUAAUACAUGCAAGUUGAGCGCUGAAGGUUGGUACUUGUACCAACUGGAUGAGCAGCGAACGGGUGAGUAACGCGUGGGGAAUCUGCCUUUGAGCGGGGGACAACAUUUGGAAACGAAUGCUAAUACCGCAUAAAAACUUUAAACACAAGUUUUAAGUUUGAAAGAUGCAAUUGCAUCACUCAAAGAUGAUCCCGCGUUGUAUUAGCUAGUUGGUGAGGUAAAGGCUCACCAAGGCGAUGAUACAUAGCCGACCUGAGAGGGUGAUCGGCCACAUUGGGACUGAGAAACGGCCCAAACUCCUACGGGAGGCAGCAGUAGGGAAUCUUCGGCAAUGGACGAAAGGCUGACCGAGCAACGCCGCGGGAGGGAAGAAGGUUUUCGGAUCGUAAAACUCUGUUGGUAGAGAAGAAAGUUGGUGAGAGUGGAAAGCUCAUCAAGUGACGGUAACUACCCAGAAAGGGACGGCUAACUACGUG